GGUUAAGUUAACAAGGGCGCAUGGUGAAUGCCUUGGCACUAGGAGCCGAUGAAGGACGGGACUAACACCGAUAUGCUUCGGGGAGCUGUACGUAAGCUAUGAUCCGGAGAUUUCCGAAUGGGGCAACCCAGCAGUUUUAAUCAACUGUUACCACUAGAUGAAUUCAUAGUCUAGUUGGAGGUAAACGCUGUGAACUGAAACAUCUCAUUAGCAGCAGGAAUAUAAAGAAAUUUCGAUUCCCUAAGUAGCGGCGAGCGAACGGGGAACAGCCCAAACCAAAGUGCUUGCACUUUGGGGUUGUAGGACUGAACAUUUGAGUUACCAAAGAACUUGAUAGUCGAAGGAUUUGGGAAAAUCCGCCAUAGAUGGUGAUAGCCCAGUAGAUUAAAUCAAAUUCUCUCAGUUCAGGAUCCUGAGUACGGCGGAACACGUGAAAUUCCGUCGGAAUCCGGGAGGACCAUCUCCCAAGGCUAAAUACUACCUAGUGACCGAUAGUGAACCAGUACCGUGAGGGAAAGGUGAAAAGCACCCCGGGAGGGGAGUGAAAUAGUUCCUGAAACCAUGUGCCUACAAUAAGUCAGAGCGCGUUAAUGCGUGAUGGCGUGCCUUUUGUAGAAUGAACCGGCGAGUUAUGAUCCCGUGCAAGGUUAAGACUAAAAAGUCGGAGCCGUAGCGAAAGCGAGUCUGAAAUGGGCGUUUUGAGUACGAGGUUAUAGACCCGAAACCAGGUGACCUAUCCAUGUCCAGGUUGAAGGUGCGGUAAAACGCACUGGAGGACCGAACCCGUGUAAGUUGAAAAUUGCUGGGAUGAGGUGUGGAUAGCGGUGAAAUUCCAAACGAACUUGGAGAUAGCUGGUUCUCUCCGAAAUAGCUUUAGGGCUAGCCUCGGAAUUAGGAUCAUGGAGGUAGAGCACUAUUUGGACUAGGGGCCCGUCUUGGGUUACUGAAUUCAGAUAAACUCCGAAUGCCAUUGAUUCAUAUCCGGGAGUCAGACGAUGAGUGAUAAGAUCCACCGUCGAAAGGGGAACAGCCCAGACCAUCAGUUAAGGUCCCUAAAUGUAUGCUAAGUGGAAAAGGAUGUGGAGUUGCAUAGACAACUAGGAUGUUGGCUCAGAAGCAGCUACCAUUUAAAGAGUGCGUAAUAGCUCACUAGUCGAGUGAUCCUGCGCCGAAAAUGUACCGGGGCUAAGCAUACUACCGAAACCAUGGAUGCGACCAUUAGGUCGCGUGAUAGGAGAGCGUUCUAAGGGCGGUGAAGCAAGAUCGUGAGGACUUGUGGAGCGCUUAGAAGUGAGAAUGCCGGUAUGAGUAGCGAAAGAUAGGUGAGAAUCCUAUCCACCGAAUGACUAAGGUUUCCUGGGGAAGGCUCGUCCUCCCAGGGUUAGUCGGGACCUAAGUCGAGGCCGAGAGGCGUAGACGAUGGAUAACAGGUUGAGAUUCCUGUACUAGUUAAGUGCGUUUGAGCAAUGGAGGGACGCAGGAGGCUAAGAUGUGCAUUCUGUUGGAUUAGAAUGUCCAAGCAGUAAGUCUUGUGAAGAGUCAAAUGCUUUUCACUUUAAGGACAAGCUGUGAUGGGGAGCGAAAUUUAGUAGCGAAGCGUCUGAUGUCACACUGCCGAGAAAAGCUUCUAGUGAGUACUUAACUACCCGUACCGCAAACCGACACAGGUAGUCGAGGAGAGAAUCCUAAGGUGAGCGAGUGAACUCUCGUUAAGGAACUCGGCAAAAUGACCCCGUAACUUCGGGAGAAGGGGUGCUGAUCGCAAGAUCAGCCGCAGUGAAUAGGCCCAGGCGACUGUUUAUCAAAAACACAGGUCUCUGCAAAAUCGUAAGAUGACGUAUAGGGGCUGACGCCUGCCCGGUGCUGGAAGGUUAAAAGGAUGGGUUAGCUUCGGCGAAGCUCAGAAUUGAAGCCCCAGUAAACGGCGGCCGUAACUAUAACGGUCCUAAGGUAGCGAAAUUCCUUGUCGGGUAAGUUCCGACCCGCACGAAAGGCGUAACGAUCUGGGCACUGUCUCAACGAGAGACUCGGUGAAAUUAUAUUGUCCGUGAAGAUGCGGACUACCCGCGACAGGACGGAAAGACCCCAUGGAGCUUUACUGUAGCUUGAUAUUGAGUGUUUGUACAGCUUGUACAGGAUAGGUAGGAGCCAUAGAAACCGGAACGCUAGUUUCGGUGGAGGCGUUGGUGGGAUACUACCCUCGCUGUAUGACCACUCUAACCCGCACCACUAAUCGUGGUGGGAGACAGUGUCAGGUGGGCAGUUUGACUGGGGCGGUCGCCUCCUAAAAAGUAACGGAGGCGCCCAAAGGUUCCCUCAGAAUGGUUGGAAAUCAUUCGCAGAGUGUAAAGGCACAAGGGAGCUUGACUGCGAGACAGACAGGUCGAGCAGGGACGAAAGUCGGGCUUAGUGAUCCGGUGGUACCGUAUGGAAGGGCCAUCGCUCAACGGAUAAAAGCUACCCUGGGGAUAACAGGCUUAUCUCCCCCAAGAGUCCACAUCGACGGGGAGGUUUGGCACCUCGAUGUCGGCUCAUCGCAUCCUGGGGCUGUAGUCGGUCCCAAGGGUUGGGCUGUUCGCCCAUUAAAGCGGUACGCGAGCUGGGUUCAGAACGUCGUGAGACAGUUCGGUCCCUAUCCGUCGCGGGCGUAGGAAAUUUGAGAGGACCUGUCCUUAGUACGAGAGGACCGGGAUGGACAUACCUCUGGUGUACCAGUUGUGCCGCCAGGCGCAUCGCUGGGUAGCUACGUAUGGAUGUGAUAAACGCUGAAAGCAUCUAAGUGUGAAACACACCUCGAGAUGAGAUUUCCCAUUCCUUUAUGGAAGUAAGACCCCUGAAAGAUGAUCAGGUAGAUAGGUUAGAAGUGGCAGUGCGGUGACGCAUGAAGCGGACUAAUACUAAUCGGUCGAGGACUUAACCAA
rnacentral:rRNA from 1 species